AUGGCAGAGAAGAAAUCAGAGGAGGUAGAAGCGAAAAGGCAGGAAAUUGCAAGGAGGAAAGUAGAGAAGUCAGAAAGAAGAAGAAGAGCAGCACAAGAGAAGAAAGUUGUGGAAUCUGCAGCAAGGCUGGAAGCUGCAGCAGCAAGAAAAGCUGCAUUGCAAGAAGAGAAGGAGGCCAGAGCCCUUGAAGCAAUGGCAACUAAAGCAGAGGCAGCACUGAAGAGAAAAGAAGAUCAAGAAGCAAAGAGAACUAUGGCAGCACUAAAGAGAAAAGAAGAUCAGGAAGCAAGGAAGAAACAACAAGAAGAGGCCAAGAGAAUAAGAGCUGAGCAGAGGAAGCAAGCAGGGCCAAGUGGACAUGUGCCCAAGAAGCUGAAGAGAGUGAACAUGUUUGAUGAGUUUAGAUGA
rnacentral:rRNA from 1 species